rnacentral:rRNA from 1 species
UACGAAGGGGGCUAGCGUUGUUCGGAAUUACUGGGCGUAAAGCGCACGUAGGCGGAUUGUUAAGUCAGGGGUGAAAUCCUGGAGCUCAACUCCAGAACUGCCUUUGAUACUGGCGAUCUCGAGUCCGGGAGAGGUGAGUGGAACUGCGAGUGUAGAGGUGAAAUUCGUAGAUAUUCGCAAGAACACCAGUGGCGAAGGCGGCUCACUGGCCCGGUACUGACGCUGAGGUGCGAAAGCGUGGGGAGCAAACAGGG